rnacentral:rRNA from 1 species
GUCCAUGCCGUAAACGUUGGGCACUAGGUGUGGGGUCCAUUCCACGGAUUCCGCGCCGUAGCAAACGCAUUAAGUGCCCCGCCUGGGGGAGUACGGCCGCAAGGCUAAAAACUCAAAAGGAAUUGACGGGGGGCCCGCACAAGCGGCGGAGCAUGCGGAUUAAUUCGAUGCAACGCGAAGAACCUUACCAAGGCUUGACAUACUUGAGAAGCCACCAGAGAUGGUGGUCUCUUUGGACACUCAUGUACAGGUGGUGCAUGGUUGUCGU